CCUACGGGAGGCAGCAGUGAGGAAUAUUGGUCAAUGGACGAGAGUCUGAACCAGCCAAGUAGCGUGAAGGAUGACUGCCCUAUGGGUUGUAAACUUCUUUUAUAUGGGAAUAAAAUGUUCCACGUGUGGGCUUUUGUAUGUACCCUAUGAAUAAGGAUCGGCUAACUCCGUGCCAGCAGCCGCGGUAAUACGGAGGGUCCGAGCGUUAUCCGGAUUUAUUGGGUUUAAAGGGAGCGUAGGUGGAUUGUUAAGUCAGUUGUGAAAGUUUGCGGCUCAACCGUAAAAUUGCAGUUGAAACUGGCAGUCUUGAGUACAGUAGAGGUGGGCGGAAUUCGUGGUGUAGCGGAGAAAUGCUUAGAUAUCACGAAGAACUCCGAUUGCGAAGGCAGCUCACUGGACUGCAACUGACACUGAGGCUCGAAAGUGUGGGUAUCAAACAGGAUUAGAUACCCUGGUAGUC
rnacentral:rRNA from 1 species